rnacentral:pre_miRNA from 1 species
UAUAAUAUUUAACUAUUCGUCUUAUUUAAAAAAUUUAUGAUUAAUAUUUUUAUUGUUAUUAGAUGAUAAAACAUAAAUAAUAAUUUAUGCGUAACUAAUUUUUUAAGUUUUCUAAUUUUUUUCAAAUAAGACGGAUGGUCAAACGUUAGACAC